UACAGAGGGUGCGAGCGUUAAUCGGAAUUACUGGGCGUAAAGCGCACGUAGUCGGCUUUGCAAGUCGGUUGUGAAAUCCCCGGGCUCAACCUGGGAACUGCAUCCGAGACUGCAUUGCUAGAGUAUGGGAGAGGAAAGCGGAAUUCCUGGUGUAGCGGUGAAAUGCGCAGAUAUCAGGAAGAACACCCGUGGCGAAGGCGGUUCUCUGGGACGGUACUGACGCUGAGACGCGAAAGCGUGGGGAGCGAACAGG
rnacentral:rRNA from 1 species